rnacentral:snoRNA from 1 species
GAAUGGACAAAGAUGAUUACAACCUUAGCUUGAACUCUCUCUCUGAUAAGAGAUGAACAUUUAAGGUCUGAGCUAUUC